GAAGGGGUAGGUAGGCUGGGAAGGAGUAGGUAGGCUGGGAAGGGGUUGGUUGCCAUCUUUUUUAGAAAUAAAUACCGGCCUUUCUAUAGGUUUAUGGUUUUUGCCCUGUUAAGAAUAUUGGCAUUAAGCACCACUCUUAGUGUCUAGGCUGGUAAAAUGCUGGGUAGGUGGCAACCCUAGUGGUAGGUAGUCCGGGCAGUAGUGAUAUAGGAAAGGGUUUAAGGGGAUUUUCUCAGUGAAUGGCAGCAGUAUGUAGGUUGGAAAGGGGUAGGUAGGCUGAGCAGAAGUAGGAGGACUGGGAAAGGGUUGGCAGCGGUAGGUAGGCUGGGCAGCAGUAUGUAAAUUGGGAAUGGGUAGGUAGGCUGGGAAAGGGUAGGCAACGGUAGGUUAGCUGGGAAAGGGUAGGUAGGCUGGGCAGCAGUAUGUAGGUUGGGAAAGGGUAGGUAGGCUGGGCAGCGGUAAGAGCCCUGGCAAAUGGUAGGUAGGCUGGGCAGCGGUAGGAGCCCUGGCAAAUGGUAGUUAGGCUGGGCACCAGUAUGUAGCCUGGGAAAGGGUAGGUAGGCUGGGCACCAGUAUGUAGCCUGGGAAAGGGUAGGUAGGUUGGAAAGGGGUAGGUAGGCUGGAAAGGGGUAGGUAGGCUGGGCUGCAGUAUGUAGGCUGGGAAAGGGGUAGGUAGGCUGGGCACCAGUAUGUAGCCUGGGAAAGGGUAGGUAGGCUGGGCACCAGUAUGUAGCCUAGGAAAGGGUAGGUAGGUUGGGAAGGGGUAGGUAGGCUGGGCUGCAGUAUGUAGGCUGGGAAAGGGGUAGGUAGGCUGGGCACCAGUAUGUAGCCUGGGAAGGGGUAGGUAGGCUGGGAAAGGGGUAGGUAGGCUGGGCACCAGUAUGUAGCCUGGGAAGGGGUAGGUAGGCUUGGAAAGGGGUAGGUAGGCUGGGAAAGGGUAGGAAGGCUGGGCACCAGUAUGUAGCCUGGGAAAGGGUAGGUAGGUUGGGAAGGGGUAGGUAGGCUGGGCAGCGGUAGGUAGGCUGGGCAGCGGUAGGUAGGCUGGGCUGCAGUAUGUAGGCUGGGCUGCAGUAUGUAGGCUGGGCUGCAGUAUGUAGGCUGGGCUGCAGUAUGUAGGCUGGGCUGCAGUAUGUAGGCUGGGCUGCAGUAUGUAGGCUGGGCUGCAGUAUGUAGGCUGGGCACCAGUAUGUAGGCUGGGCUGCAGUAUGUAGGCUGGGCUGCAGUAUGUAGGCUGGGCUGCAGUAUGUAGGCUGGGCACCAGUAUGUAGGCUGGGCACCAGUAUGUAGGCUGGGCACCAGUAUGUAGGCUGGGCACCAGUAUGUAGGCUGGGCACCAGUAUGUAGGCUGGGCACCAGUAUGUAGGCUGGGCACCAGUAUGUAGGCUGGGCACCAGUAUGUAGGCUGGGCUGCAGUAUGUAGGCUGGGCUGCAGUAUGUAGGCUGGGCACCAGUAUGUAGGCUGGGCACCAGUAUGUAGGCUGGGCACCAGUAUGUAGGCUGGGCUGCAGUAUGUAGGCUGGGCUGCAGUAUGUAGGCUGGGCUGCAGUAUGUAGGCUGGGCUGCAGUAUGUAGGCUGGGCUGCAGUAUGUAGGCUGGGCACCAGUAUGUAGGCUGGGCACCAGUAUGUAGGCUGGGCACCAGUAUGUAGGCUGGGCACCAGUAUGUAGGCUGGGCACCAGUAUGUAGCCUGGGCACCAGUAUGUAGGCUGGGCACCAGUAUGUAGGCUGGGCACCAGUAUGUAGGCUGGGCACCAGUAUGUAGGCUGGGCUGCAGUAUGUAGGCUGGGGAAGGGGUAGGUAGGCUGGGCUGCAGUAUGUAGGCUGGGGAAGGGGUAGGUAGGCUGGGCUGCAGUAUGUAGGCUGGGGAAGGGGUAGGUAGGCUGGGCUGCAGUAGGUAGGCUGGGGAAGGGUAGGUAGGCUGGGAUGCAGUAGGUAGGCUGGGAAAGGGGUAGGUAGGCUGGGGAAGGGGUAGGUAGGCUGGGCAGUAGUGAUAUAGGCAAGUGAUUAAUGUACUAACAAGUCCCAGGAUGGUUUGAGUGACUGACAGGGGAACUGAGCCCGGGGGGGGGGGGGGG